AGUUAAAAAGCUGUUGGGACUGGGGGAGGGAGAAAAGAGGAGGAGAGAGAAUUAGCGCCAGCUGGAUGUGAAAUCAAUUUGGCAUUUCAAAACAACAAAAAUAUUCUUUUCCCAUUCAUUUGAUCUGGCACAUCAGCACUCAGUUAGCGUGCUGGAAAGGAAACACCAGCAGGGACUGAAUUGUCACUCAGCCCCCUGGAAUAAGGACAGUGCUGUGGGAUGGGGCAGCAGGCAGAGCAGUACUGGGAAGGAUGCUCAUCCAAUCUAACCUCUGUCUCUCCCCAAAGGAAUGGAAUGAGCUAUUUAGGCUUGGGAGGUGGUGGGUACAGAAUCAUUGGGUAUGGACUGGCUGUUGUUGUCUAGGUAUGGAAACCCUAAGAAGUGUCCACUUGAGAUAAGUGAGGCUCAGGGACAGCCUUCAGAUUUGGGCAGUGCCUGGAUGGCUUGGAUGGAAGGUCUGUGGUGGGUGAGGAAGAGCUGUAAGCAAGGGGAGCAAACCUUGAGGUUGCAUGAAUUUCAUUCCCACCCUGUCUUCUCCCAUAGGAAGAAAACAAAGCUGGUAAACGAGCAUUUCACUCCGAGGAGAAACACGGCUGUGAAGGGCAGAUUUGACUCUGGGUUUCGGCAGGCUGUUCUCCAGCCAUCUUCCAUUCAUGCUCCAGACAUCACUGGGAACAAGAGCUAAACAGUUCCUGGGCUGUUUCAUAACGGAGAAAUGAGCCUCUGUGAGAGGUAAGACACUUCCCUUUCUUUGCUUGAAACAUCAUGAACUUUCAAACUUGGCAAGGCUCUUUCGAGUUCGAUCUAAUAAUAAACCCAAACCUUCUAUCGUACA
rnacentral:lncRNA from 1 species